rnacentral:rRNA from 1 species
GACGAACGCUGGCGGCGGGCUUAACACAUGCAAGUCGAACGGAAAGGCCCUGCUGUUGUGGGGUGCGCGAGUGGCGAACGGGUGAGUAACACGUGAGUAACCUGCCCUUGACUUUGGGAUAACUUCAGGAAACUGGGGCUAAUACCGGAUAGGAGCUCCUGCUGCAUGGUGGGGGUUGGAAAGUUUCGGCGGUUGGGGAUGGACUCGCGGCUUAUCAGCUUGUUGGUGGGGUAGUGGCUUACCAAGGCUUUGACGGGUAGCCGGCCUGAGAGGGUGACCGGCCACAUUGGGACUGAGAUACGGCCCAGACUCCUACGGGAGGCAGCAGUGGGGAAUAUUGCACAAUGGGCGGAAGCCUGAUGCAGCAACGCCGCGUGCGGGAUGACGGCCUUCGGGUUGUAAACCGCUUUCGCCUGUGACGAAGCGUGAGUGACGGUAAUGGGUAAAGAAGCACCGGCUAACUACGUG